UACAGAGGUCCCAAGCGUUGUUCGGAUUUACUGGGCGUAAAGGGCGCGUAGGCGGUCGGGUAAGUCUGAUGGGAAAUCUCACAGCUUAACUGUGAAACUGCAUUGGAUACUAUUCGGCUUGAGAGUUGGAGGGGGGACUGGAAUUCUUGGUGUAGCAGUGAAAUGCGUAGAUAUCAAGAGGAACACCAGUGGCGAAGGCGAGUCCCUGGACAACUUCUGACGCUGAGGCACGAAAGCUAGGGGAGCAAACAGG
rnacentral:rRNA from 1 species